GAUUCAUAAUAACUUUGCAAAUCGCGGGCCAAUGUCUGCGAUGAUACAAACGAGUUUCUGACCUAUCAACUUUAGAUGGCAGGAUAGGGGCUUGCCAUGGUGACAACGGGUGACGGGGAAUUAUGGUUCGAUUCCGGAGAGGGAGCCUGAGAAAACGGCUACCACUUCCAAGGAAGGCAGCAGGCGCGCAAAAUUACCCAAUACUGAUUCGGUGAGGUAGUGACAAGAAAUACCAAUAUAGGACCCAACGGGUACUAUUUUGGAAUGAGUACAAUUUAAAAACCUUAACGAGGAACAAUUGGAGGGCAAGUCUGGUGCCAGCAGCCGCGGUAAUUCCAGCUCCAAUAGUGUAUAUUAAAGUUGCUGCGGUUAAAAAGCUCGUAGUUGGAUUUCGGAGUUGUUAUCUGAACCUUCUCGCCAUAAAAGU
rnacentral:rRNA from 1 species